GGUUGUAGGGAACUGAAAGGGACCGACCCUUCGGGAGCCUAUACAGGUGUUGCAUGGCUGUCGUCAGCUCGUGUCGUGAGAUGUCCGGUUAAGUCCGCUAACGAGCGCAACCCCUAUUGUUAGUUGCCAUCAUUCAGUUGGGCACUCUAGCGAGACUGCCGGUAAUAAACCGGAGGAAGGUGGGGAUGACGUCAAAUCAUCAUGCCCCUUAUGACCUGGGCUACACACGUGCUACAAUGGUUGGUACAACGAGUUGCGAGUCGGUGACGGCGAGCUAAUCUCUUAAAGCCAAUCUCAGUUCGGAUUGUAGGCUGCAACUCGCCUACAUGAAGUCGGAAUUGCUAGUAAUUGCAGAUCAGCAUGCUGCAGUGAAUACGUUCCCGGGCCUU
rnacentral:rRNA from 1 species